GACGAACGCUGGCGGCAGGCCUAACACAUGCAAGUCGAACGAGUGGCGGACGGGUGAGUAAUGUCUGGGAAACUGCCUGAUGGAGGGGGAUAACUAGUGGAAACGGUAGAUAAUAACGCAUACCAUCAGAGGUGCCCAGAUGGGAUGAGCGGGUUGGUGGGGUAACGGCUCACCAAGGCGACGACCCCUAGCUGGUCUGAGGGGAUGACCAGCCACACGGGAACGUGGCCACGGUCCAGACUCCUCCGGGAGGCAUCAGUGGGGAAUAUUGCACAAUGGGCGCAAGCCUGAUGCAGCCAUGCCGCGUGUAUGAAGAAGGCCUUCGGGUUGUAAAGUACUUUCAGCGGGGAGGCGUUACCCGCAGAAUAAGCACCGGCUAACUCCGUGCCAGCAGCCGCGGUAAUUC
rnacentral:rRNA from 1 species